UACGGAGGGGGCGAGCGUUGUCCGAAUUUAUUGGGCGUAAAGCGCGUGUAGGCGGAUUUUCAAGCCUGAGGUGAAAGGUUGGGGCUCAACCCCAUACAGUGCCUUGGGGACUGAGAGUCUGGAGGCAGGCAGAGGAGUGUGGAAUUCCUGGUGUAGCGGUGGAAUGCGUAGAGAUCAGGAAGAACACCAAUGGCGAAGGCAGCUCGCUGGAACGGUACUGACGCUGAGACGCGAAAGCGUGGGGAGCAAACAGG
rnacentral:rRNA from 1 species